GAUGAACGCUGGCGGUGUGCCUAAUACAUGCAAGUCGAGCGGAAACACUUCGGGUGUCGAGCGGCGGACGGCUGAGUAACGCGUAGGAACGUACCCCAAACUGAGGGAUAACUGCCCGAAAGGGUAGCUAAUACCGCAUGUGAUCUUCGGAUUAAAGCUUCGGCGGUUUGGGAACGGCCUGCGUAUGAUUAGCUUGUUGGUGAGGUAAAGCUCACCAAGGCGACGAUCAUAGCUGGUCUGAGAGGAUGAUCAGCCAGACUGGGACUGAGAACGGCCCAGACUCCUACGGGAGGCAGCAGUAAGGAAUCUUCCACAAUGGACGAAAGUCUGAUGGAGCAACACCGCGUGCAGGAUGACGGCUUUC
rnacentral:rRNA from 1 species